AAAUGUAGUUGGAGACCAGCAGCUGGGAUUUGGUUGUUGUUGAAUAGUUGGGUCAUGGAUAGGCCUGUAGCAGUUUGCUUGCAGGUGAGGCAAGCUGAUCUGCUCGACUCCUCGGCUUUAUAAAUUCACUCAGGGCAGCCUGAAAGCAAUUCAUCAUCAUCCCUCCUUGUUUGCCUGCUUUCUUCCUUUGUGGUCUUUUUUCUUGUUAGAAGAUCAAGAUGGGACCUGGUGGUCCAGGAGGACCUGGUGGCCCUGGUUGGUUUCCUCUGCCUGGUGGCCCCCCAGGUUGGGGCCCUGGACCUGGAGGACCGUUCGGAGGACCUGGCUGUUGUGGCCUCCUAGGCUCAUGCUUUUACUUCCUUUGCUGUUGCUGCUUGCUGCAAGAGUGCUGUGGACCCUUGAUUGGUGGGCCUCCAGGCCCCCAUGGACCGCCUGGACCGUUCUUUUAAUCUAAGCAGUCCAACCAAAUGAAAGGCACACAUGCAAACAAAUAAGUAGAUGUAGAACAGUAAAGUGCUUACAGCUCUCUUAUGUCCUUGUUCCUAUGGGCCACUGCCUUAUUUUUGUAUCCUUCAUCCUGGAACGUACGCUGUAGUUUACUACCAUAGAGAUCUUCUAUGUCAGAUUACUUGUCAUGAAUGUAAAAAAUCCAACCUUUGUUCCAUUGGAGAGUUUGCUUCUUUGUCAAUAGUAUUGAAUGGCUCAACAAUUGACAUCUGAA